rnacentral:piRNA from 2 species
UCAAACUUGCUACAUAGCCAAGGCUGGCCUA